rnacentral:rRNA from 1 species
CAAUGAUUUCCCUAGUAACGGCGAGUGAAGAGGAAAGAGCUCAAAGUUGGAACCUGUUUGGCCUAGCUAAACAGGAUUGUAAACUGUAGAAGUGUUUUCCAGGCAAUCCGAGUUAAUAAGUCCUUUGGAACAGGGCAUCAUAGAGGGUGAGAAUCCCGUCUUUGAUUCGAGAUAUUUUGUCUUUUGCGAUACACUUUCAAAGAGUCAGGUUGUUUGGGAAUGCAGCCUAAAUUGGGUGGUAAAUCUCACCUAAAGCUAAAUAUUGGCGAGAAACCGAUAGCGAACAAGUACCGUGAGGGAAAGAUGAAAAGAACUUUGAAAAGAGAGUUAAACAGUAUGUGAAAUUGUUAAAAGGGAACCGUUUGGAGCCAGACUGGCUUGUCUGUAAUCAAUCUAGGUUUCGUGCCUGGAUGCACUUGCAGACUAUUUGCCUGCCAACGACAAUUUUUUUUGAGUGUAAAAACUAUUGGAAAUGUGGCCAAUAUUUAUUUAUUGGUGUUAUAGUCCUUUAGAAAAUACCUUGAAUUGGAUUUGAGGAACGCAGCGAAUGCUUCUC